UACGUAGGGGGCAAGCGUUGUCCGGAAUCAUUGGGCGUAAAGAGCGUGUAGGCGGUUCGGUAAGUCGGCUGUGAAAGUCAAGGGCUCAACCCUCGAAUGCCGGUGGAUACUGUCGGGCUAGAGUGCGGAAGAGGCGAGUGGAAUUCCUGGUGUAGCGGUGAAAUGCGUAGAGAUCGGGAGGAACACCAGAGGCGAAAGCGGUUAACUGGGUCUAAACUGACGCUGAGGCGCGAAGGCUAGGGGAGCAAACAGG
rnacentral:rRNA from 1 species